rnacentral:sRNA from 1 species
UAUAUUCUCGAUUUUGAUUUCUCUUUAGCACGAAAACGGCGUCGUAAGACUAUAGUAACAGAUGCUUAACGGACUAAAACGGCUGUCAAUUACGCUGUUAGAAGGAUUUUUAACGGUGGUUAAUUAGGCCGAGUCAACGCAAACUUAAAGGUUAAAACAGAAGUCAACUUUUUGUUGAGAGUUAAAACGGCCAUUUCACGAGUUCACGGUUAAUUUGGCCAUUUUUUGUAAGUUGAGGUAUUAAAUAACAUUUUUCCCUAUAAUUUUUAUAGAAACUUGAAAACAACUUAUAAAGUAAAACAAAAAAUUUGAUCUAAAACAACUUAUAUUAUGAAACGGAGGGAGUAUACUGAUGUAAUUACCACCUUAAAAAAU